rnacentral:rRNA from 1 species
GAAUCUUCCACAAUGGGCGAAAGCCUGAUGGAGCUACGCCGCGUGAGUGAAGAAGGUCUUCGGAUCGUAAAACUCUGUUGUAAGGGAAGAACAAGUACAGCAGUAACUGGCUGUACCUUGACGGUACCUUAUUCGAAAGCCACGGCUAACUACGUCCCAGCACCCGCGGUAAUACGUAGGUGGCAAGCGUUGUCCGGAGUUAUUGGGCGUAAAGCGCGCGCAGGCGGUCCUUUAAGUCUGAUGUGAAAGCCCACGGCUCAACCGUGGAGGGUCAUUGGAAACUGGGGGACUUGUGUGCAGAAGAGGAGAGUGGAAUUCCAAGUGUAGCGGUGAAAUGCGUAGAGAUUUGGAGGAACACCAGUGGCGAAGGCGACUUUCUGGUCUGUAACUGACGCUGAGGCGCGAAUGCGUGGGGAGCAAACAGG